rnacentral:rRNA from 1 species
UACGAAGGGGGCUAGCGUUGCUCGGAAUUACUGGGCGUAAAGGGCGCGUAGGCGGACAGUUUAGUCAGAGGUGAAAGCCCAGGGCUCAACCUUGGAAUAGCCUUUGAUACUGACUGUCUUGAGUUCGGGAGAGGUGAGUGGAAUGCCGAGUGUAGAGGUGAAAUGCGUAGAGAUCCGGAGGAACACCAGAGGCGCAGGCGGCUUGCUGGGUCUGUAUUGACGCUCAGACACGAAAGCAUGGGGAGCGAACGGG